rnacentral:rRNA from 1 species
CGCGUGGGUAACCUGCCUUACACUGGGGGAUAACACUUAGAAAUAGGUGCUAAUACCGCAUAACAGGAGAAGAUGCAUGUCUUUUCCUUAAAAACUCCGGUGGUGUAAGAUGGACCCGCGUCUGAUUAGCUUGUUGGCGGGGUAACGGCCCACCAAGGCGACGAUCAGUAGCCGGCCUGAGAGGGUGAACGGCCACAUUGGGACUGAGACACGGCCCAAACUCCUACGGGAGGCAGCAGUGGGGAAUAUUGGACAAUGGGGGGAACCCUGAUCCAGCGACGCCGCGUGAGUGAAGAAGUAUUUCGGUAUGUAAAGCUCUAUCAGCAGGGAAGAAAGAAAUGACGGUACCUGACUAAGAAGCCCCGGCUAACUACGUGCCAGCAGCCGCGGUAAUACGUAGGGGGCAAGCGUUAUCCGGAUUUACUGGGUGUAAAGGGAGCGUAGACGGCGAUGCAAGUCUGAAGUGAAAGGCGGGGGCCCAACCCCCGGACUGCUUUGGAAACUGUAUAGCUGGAGUGCAGGAGAGGUAAGUGGAAUUCCUAGUGUAGCGGUGAAAUGCGUAGAUAUUAGGAGGAACACCAGUGGCGAAGGCGGCUUACUGGACUGUAACUGACGUUGAGGCUCGGAAGCGUGGGGAGCAAACAGGAUUAGAUACCCUGGNAGUCCACGCCGUAAACGAUGAUCACCAGGUGU